CAUGGCUUCUAAUCAUUCGGCUUACCUCAUAAAACUGAAAAACGGUAACUGCUAUCCUGAGGGAAACUUCGGCAGGAAACCAGCUACUAGAUGGUUCGAUUAGUCUUUCGCCCCUAUGCCCAAAUUUGACGAUCGAUUUGCACGUCAGAACCGCUGCGAGCCUCCACCAGAGU
rnacentral:rRNA from 1 species